GGAGGAUCAUUACCGAGAAAGGGGCCCCGGCCCCGGGGGUUCCGGCCCCUUAUUCUUCACCCACUGCGUACCUACCCUUGUUGCUUUGGCGGGGAAGCCCGCCAGAGGCCCCCCGAAACUCUGCGUGAACAGUGGCGUCUGAGCUGUUUCUUAAUUUAUAAAAACUUUCAACAACGGAUCUCUUGGUUCCAGCAACGAUGAAGAACGCAGCGAAAUGCGAUACGUAAUGUGAAUUGCAGAAUUCAGUGAAUCAUCGAAUCUUUGAACGCAUAUUGCGCCCCUCGGCAUUCCGGGGGGCAUACCUGUUCGAGCGUCAUUGCACCCCUCAAGCGUCGCUUGGUAUUGGGCGUUCGCCGGCGGGCGUGCCUGAAAAUCAGUGGCGGCCCGGCGCGGCUUCGAGCGUAUUGAAUGUCCUGCCGCUCUGCAAGACCGCCCCGCGGCCGGCCGCCCCAUCCACCACGGAUCUCGUUUAAUUGACCUCGGAUCAGGUAGGGAUACCCGCUGACCUUUAAGCAUAA
rnacentral:rRNA from 1 species